GUGCUCACUUUGGUAGCACACAGACUAAAAAUCGAAACAAUACAAAGAAGAUUUGCACAGUCCUCAUCUGCAGAUGGACGACAUGCAAAUUCAUGAAGCAUCUCGUAUUUUU
rnacentral:snRNA from 1 species